CUACCAAGAACUUGUCAGAUUGCCUGACUUUUCUGAUUGCAUGGAAGACACGCCUACCCACGGCGGCGUGAGGGAUACAUACACGAAAAGUAAUUUCCUGGACAAGCAGACGAGCAGCUCUGAGUCCAGGUGAACAACAUUAUUCCUUAACUGUGGGUCGCUCAUCAUAGACAUCCGACUGUAAACACAGCCAGCACUCAAUCUGAAGCGUCCUGCUCUGAUCUGCUCACUGACUCCGUUCGGCCCAGGAUGGACAGAUACCAGGAGCAGGGAAGAGGAUAACUCCUCGCAGGUGGUGGUACCGGGCCAUGUACACUGCUUAACCUCAGCCCACUGAACCUGCCGACGAAGGAGAGAGUAAAAUGUUUAUUCUGCAGCCCACAGCACUGAG